AAUAAAAUAAUAUAAAGAACAUGAUGUUGGUUCAGAUUAAAUGCUAAAUAAGGACAUUACACAUGCAAAUCAAACGUUUAUUAUAAGUAUAAUAAUAAAUAAGUGGUGUAUACGUGAGUAAAAAAUAGAAAUAAUGAACUAUAAAUUAAGUUAAAAACUUAAUAAAUAUUUAUAUAAAUAUAUAAAUAAUAAAUAAUAUAUAUAUAAUAUAUUAGUUUAUAGUCAAGUCUAUAAUGGUUUAAGGUAGUAGGAUUAAUAAAGUUAAGUUUGCCUAGCCAACGAUCCAUAAUUGAUAAUAAAAGUUAGAACAAUCACGUUGAUUUUGAAAUAUAAUCAAUAUCUAUAUGAUACAGCAGUGGGGAAUAUUAGACAAUGAUCGAAAGAUUGAUCUAGUUACUUAUUAGGAUGAUAUUUAAAUAUAUAAAUAAAAAUAAUAUAAAUAAAUUGAUUAAAAAUAAAAUCCAUAUAUAAUUUAAAUAAUGAUUUAAAAUUACCUAUAUUAUAGUUAAAUAUAAUAAAUAGGUGUAUUCAGUAUAUAUAUAUUUAUAUAUAUAUAAAGGAUAUAUAUAAUAGUCUUAACAAAUAAUUGUGCCAGCAGUUGCGGUUAUACAAUGAAGGCUAGCAUUAAUCAUAAUGGUUUAAAGGAUUCGUAGAAUGUAUAUUAUUUAAUAAUAUAUAGAGUUAAUAUAAUAUUAAUUAAAGAAUUAUAAUAGUAAGGAUGAAAUAAUAAUAAUAAUUAUAAGACUGGUAUAUAUGAAAAUAUUAAUUAAUAAUUAACUGACAUUGAGGAAUGAAAACUAAAGUAGCAAAACAGAUUCGAUACCUGUGUAGUUUUAGUAGUAAACGAUGAAUAUAAUUAUUUAUUUAAAUAUAAUAAAUAAAUAAUAAAUGAAAAUAAAAAUAUUCCACCUGAAGAGUAUAUUAGCAAUAAUGAAACUCAAGACAAUAGACGGUUACAGACUUAAGUAGUGGGGUACGUGAUUUAAUUCGAUAAUCCUCGAUAAUCUUACCAUAUUUUGAAUAUUAAUAAAUAAUAUUUAUUUAUUAUUACAAGUGUUACAUUGUUGUCUUUAAUUCGUGCUGUAAAGUUUUAGAUUAAGUUCAUAAACGAAUAAAACUCCAUAUAUAUACUAAUAAAAUAUAAUAUAUAUUUAUAUAUAUUAUAUAUUAAUUAAAUUAAUUAUAUAUAUUAUUAUAUUAUCAAUUAAUAUAAUGAAAAGGAAUUAAGACAAAUCAUAAUGACCUUUAUAAUAUGGGCUAUAAACAUGCUAUAAUAAAAUGUAUAAAAUUAAAUAAAAUAAAUUAUUUUUAAUAAUAUAUUAGAAUUAAUAAUAAAAAACAUUUUAAUCUUUAAUAUAAUUUUAUAUUAUAUAUAAUAUGGAUUAUAAUCUGAAAUUUGAUUAUAUGAAAUAAGAAUUACUAGUAAUACGUAAAUAAUAAUGUUACGGUGAAUACUCUAACUGUUUCGCACUAAUCACUCAUCACGCACUGAAACAUAUUAUUAUCCUAAUAAUAAUUAUAUAUUAAUUCCAAUCUUACAAGAAAGGAAUAUCGUAAGAUGUAAUUUAAUUAUUAUUAAUAUAUAUUAUUACAAGAAAUAAUACGAAUUAAUGCGAAGUUGAAAUACAGUUACCGUAGGGGAACCUGCGGUGGGCUUAUAAUAAUCUUUAAUAUUCUUCAU
rnacentral:ncRNA from 1 species